CUCACUCUACUAAAAUGAGAUUUUAUUUAAGUCAGAGGAGACUGCAAACUGGGUUAUAACUGUUGAAUGUUUCAUAGUCAUAGCAUUUAUGGAAGAUACAACGCUUCUUCUCAGCUUAUAAAUAUUUAAUACCAUAAUGGAAGUUAUUCAUUAAAUGUUAACAGUCAGCAUAGCAUCUAUCUGGAAUAUGCUUUUCCCCAGAGUUCUACGAUAGAGUAUUUGUGGAGAGAGAAGGUGGUAAGAGGGCCAUCAAUGAAGACUUUUGCCUGGGUGAAAAAGAAAUGUCUUUCCUUCUGGUUCAUUUUUAUUUUGGAAUAUUAUUACAUCUCAUUUCAACUAUAUUUCACUGUUGUUUGAACAGAGGGCAGAAAUUGUCAAAUGAGGACACAACUGAAAAAAUUCUGACUUACAGGAAAUUUAUUUCAAAGAUUUAUUUCCUUUAUAAAUUACCCAGACUCUGGGUAAUUUAGCUUCAGGAGAUCCGAUAACUUUCAUGUUUUCCCCUUAAACACACAGAACAACAAGAGCUUCAAGAUCAGAUGGCACAGGUGGAAAGUGACUGUCACUGCCCAGGCCAGCAGACUAAAGGGUGCUGCAAGUGUCCUCGUGCUUUUCAAUCACUGAGACGUCUGUCUUUCCUAUUUUUCUAAAGGUCUCAUCCAAGAUACCACAUUACGCUUAGUUAUCAUGUCUCCUCCUGGCUGUUUUUCAGACUUUCCUCCAAAACAUUGACAGUUUUGAGGCGUACCAGUCAGAUUCCACAUAUGAGUGAUAUCAUAUGGCAUUUUUCUUUCUCCUUCUGGCUUACUUCACUUAGAAUGACAUUCUCCAGGGCCAUCCAUGUUGCUGUAAGUGGCAUUAUUUUAUUAUUUUUUAUGGCUGAGUA